rnacentral:misc_RNA from 1 species
ACCUGCGGAGGGAUCAUUACAGAGUUGCAAAACUCCCUAAACCAUUGUGAACGUUACCUAAACCGUUGCUUCGGCGGGCGGCCCGGGUCCUUCCCGGCGCCCCUCGGCCCUCGCGGGCGCCCGCCGGAGGUAAACCAAACUAUUGCAUUGUAUGGCCUCUCUGAGUCUUCUGUACUGAAUAAGUCAAAACUUUCAACAACGGAUCUCUUGGUUCUGGCAUCGAUGAAGAACGCAGCGAAAUGCGAUAAGUAAUGUGAAUUGCAGAAUUCAGUGAAUCAUCGAAUCUUUGAACGCACAUUGCGCCCGCCAGUAUUCUGGCGGGCAUGCCUGUUCGAGCGUCAUUUCAACCAUCAAGCCCCGGGCUUGUGUUGGGGACCUGCGGCUGCCGCAGGCCCUGAAAUGCAGUGGCGGGCUCGCUGUCACUCCGAGCGUAGUAGUUACAUCUCGCCCUGGGCGUGCUGCGGGUUCCGGCCGUUAAAAGCCUUAUUACCCAAGGUGA